GUCAAUACAAUACAUACAACAUGAAUCCAGAAGAUUGAAGAUGAAACAUACCUGUCAUCUGUAGAGGGCCAGCUUUGGGGAGCUGGAGGGCUUAGGCCAGCCCGGGUCUUACCUGCAGCUUGUACCAAGCCUGACAGCUGUGAAACUCAGGAUGUCGGCUUACCACCCCCCUGUUCUGUCUCUUGAGAACAGGAUGCAGGAAGGGAGGAAACGGAUGUGGUAGAGGACAGGAUGCAGGAAAGAAUGUAACAGACAAGGUACAAGAAGUAAGGAAAUCACCUAAUUAGAUUCGUACUUUUCAUGAAUAACAAUGUUACUAUUGCUUAAUCCAGUACUAUAUAAGCCUGAGCCCUCAGAUGAAUAAACAGAGUUUGUUCUUCACUGCUCUCACCUUGCCCGUGUUUCUUUCUCUCUUCACACUCUGCCGGCAUCAGACCACAGCCGGGGAUGCAGGCGCUCCCGGCAUUUGGAGCCUAGACAGGGACCUGAAAGGAAGGCUUCCCCCGGCAAAGUGGCCCUGGACAAGGUGGGCUGUUUGGUCAACAGCACUAGAAAAGGAGCUCCGGUGGCCAAGAGAAGACGCUAACAAGAACAUGCAGGAGAACCAGUCUGGGUUCCCGAGAGGAACAUCCGUACCUGUCAGCAUACUGACCAGAGGGAUAGAGACCCUGAGCAUCAAGGGAAAAACUGGUCGGAGAGACAAGCGGAGGAAGAAGGUGAGACUGAGAACAUGAAGAGCCAAUAAUAAGAUGUUGACUGUCCUUUUUGCAAUGAUGACUGUGCAGAUGGCUCCAUGAUGGAGUCAUGAUUACAUUGGACUUACAUGCCUUACCCAACCUUGGGUUAAACCUGUAACUUGACCACUAUACUUUUGUUUGUGUAACUCCCUAUUUGCUUUCUAAUACUACCAAUGUAACUUCUGAUCAAACAUUGAAUAAGCUUCAGGGCGC
rnacentral:lncRNA from 1 species